rnacentral:misc_RNA from 1 species
UUAUCAAUCCAUAAUUUAUAAAACAGGUUACGAUUUGGUAGAUUUUACACCUACCCAUUUUUUGGAAAUGAAAGAUAUAAACAAUAGAAAUAUUAAAUCAAUAGAAAUAUUAAAUCUUUACUUUAUCUUUAUCCAAAAAAAUUUUUGGUGNAAAAAAUUAUUUAUAAUCCNUAUUUUUCAAAAUAAAAAAAAAANCUGAAAAAANUGGAGAAUUUCUACUACUUAGUUUAGAAAAAAAAANUCGUCUUUUUUCUAUAUUAAUUUUUAAAAAUUAACGAGAAUCAAGUGUAUUAAUCCUCUAGGUAUACUUACGCAAUAUACCUUUAUUUAUAUUAUAUUUUNAUAAACCUCCAGGUAUACUUACCCNAAUAGAGAUAUUUUAGAGACUACUAUACUCUAGUAGUAUAUUUUUUUCCUUACCCAAUAUAUUAGUCUAAAAAACUAAUAUAUUGGGUAUAUUGGGUAUUUAUCAAAUUAAUAUUCAAAUUUUUAAUAUAAUGAACAAUUCAAAAGAUCUA